AGGAGUGCUAAUACCCGGUAUGGCGCAGCGGUCUUCGGAUCGCGGCGAGAAAGACCCGCAAGGGUUGCCAGAGGACGAGCCUGCGGCCCAUCAGCUAGUUGGCGAGGUAACGGCUCACCAAGGCGAAGACGGGUAGCUGGUCUGAGAGGAUGAUCAGCCACACUGGAACUGAGACACGGUCCAGACUCCUACGGGAGGCAGCAGUGGGGAAUAUUGCGCAAUGGGCGAAAGCCUGACGCGGCCACGCCGCGUGAGCGAUGAAGGCCUUCGGUCGUAAAGCUCUGUGGGAGAGAAGAAUAAAGCUGUGAAGAGCAGGCCUUGACGGUAUCUCCUUAGCAAGCACCGGCUAACUCCGUG
rnacentral:rRNA from 1 species